rnacentral:lncRNA from 1 species
UUAACCAAACUUUCUUUAUUAACAAAAGCAAAUUCAUUUCGUAUCGAGCAUUAUUACUUUAGCAAUAGUUAAAAGUUUUCUAAAAAGGAGGACCAACAAAGAUCCAGAGCUUUAAUUUUAGAGCUCGAACUUCCUCGUGUCUAAAAGCCAAUUCAGUAGCCUCUUCUUUCUAUUCAACAAAUACAAAGUACCAUAUAUCUUGGUCUUGAUCG